rnacentral:rRNA from 1 species
GAUGAACGCUGGCGGCGUGCUUAACACAUGCAAGUCGAACGAUGAUGCCCAGCUUGCUGGGUGGAUUAGUGGCGAACGGGUGAGUAACACUUGAGUAACCUCCCCUUGACUCUGGGAUAAGCCUGGGAAACUGGGUCUAAUACCGGAUACGACCAUCUGGCGCAUGUCAUGGUGGUGGAAAGCUUUUGUGGUUUUGGAUGGACUCGCGGCCUAUCAGCUUGUUGGUGGGGUAAUGGCCUACCAAGGCGACGACGGGUAGCCGGCCUGGGAGGGUGACCGGCCACACUGGGACUGAGGCACGGCCCAGACUCAUACGGGAGGCAGCAGUGGGGAAUAUUGCACAAUGGGCGCAAGCCUGAUGCAGCGACGCCGCGUGAGGGAGGACGGCCUUCGGGGUGUAAACCUCUUUCAGUAGGGAAGAAGAGAAAGUGACGGUACCUGCAGAAGAAGCGACGGCUAACUACGUG